ACCAUUAGAACCUCCCCUUCCCCUUCCUGCAUCUCACUCCAUUCGAACACCCACCCAUCAUCUCAAAUCUUCACAGAAAGGUCGUCGGAACCCCCAUCUCUGGCGACCCAACUCCAAACCUCUUCAAACUUACACCCCUAAAACAACUCAGUCUCCUCUUUCCAACCAUAUAGGUCACACCUUUCAAAUCUUCCUGAAACGUGUCGAAUAUUAGUUUGAAGUUCAACCCUAAAACUCAAACCCUGUUAGAACUUGGUCAAACUCCUCCCAGGAAACCCUUGGCAUUUCCC
rnacentral:lncRNA from 1 species